UACGUAGGGGGCAAGCGUUGUCCGGAAUUAUUGGGCGUAAAGAGCGUGUAGGCGGUCCGGUAAGUCAGCUGUGAAAGUCAAGGGCUCAACCCUUGAAUGCCGGUUGAUACUGUCGGGCUAGAGUCCGGAAGAGGCGAGUGGAAUUCCCGGUGUAGCGGUGAAAUGCGCAGAUAUCGGGAGGAACACCAAUGGCGAAGGCAGCUCGCUGGGACGGUACUGACGCUGAGGCGCGAAAGCUAGGGGAGCGAACGGG
rnacentral:rRNA from 1 species